CACGUAGGGUGCGAGCGUUGUCCGGAAUUAUUGGGCGUAAAGAGCUCGUAGGCGGUGUGUCGCGUCGGCCGUGAAAACCUGCAGCUUAACUGUGGGCUUGCGGUCGAUACGGGCAGGCUAGAGUUCGGCAGGGGAGACUGGAAUUCCUGGUGUAGCGGUGAAAUGCGCAGAUAUCAGGAGGAACACCGGUGGCGAAGGCGGAUCUCUGGGCCAUUACUGACGCUGAGGAGCGAAAGCGUGGGGAGCGAACAGG
rnacentral:rRNA from 1 species